GCUAAGAUCAUUGUAGUCUGUUACAAAAUGGUUUCAAGUUAGUGUCUGUUUCAUGCAAAUAAUCAGCUUUACGUUUGGAGAUUGCAUUUAUAUUGCA